rnacentral:rRNA from 1 species
GCGAGCGUUGUCCGGAAUUAUUGGGCGUAAAGGGCUCGUAGGCGGUCUGUCACGUCGGGUGUGAAAACUCGGGGCUUAACUCCGAGCCUGCUUCUGAUACGGGCAGACUAGAGGUAUGCAGGGGAGAAUGGAAUUCCUGGUGUAGCGGUGAAAUGCGCAGAUAUCAGGAGGAACACCGGUGGCGAAGGCGGUUCUCUGGGCAUGACCUGACGCUGAGGAGCGAAAGUGUGGGGAGCGAACAGG